rnacentral:tRNA from 1 species
GGGCGGGUGGCGGAAUCGGCAUACGCGCAGCGCUUAGGACGCUGUCCCGAAAGGGUUGUGGGUUCAAAUCCCACCUCGCCCA